AUGCCGAGGACAGAAGGAGGCUGCACUGCGCUGCUGGCGGGGCAGGCUGCAGGGGGCGACACCUGGGCUUUCACCCGAGCCCUGCACACACUCGUCUCACCGCUGACACUCUCCAGCCCCUGCGGCCACUGUCCUGGACUCUCUCCCUCCACUGGUGGAAGCCCGGCCCUCACAUUUACAUCACUAAUGUCCAGCACAGGUGCCCGUGCCAAACUGCCUGCUGCGGGGGACAAGGAGGCCCACACGGCGGGGAGCCAGGACCCAGACGCCUACACUGAGGGCUUGACUGUACAGAUGGUAUCUAAAGUGCUUGGGAAACAGUUGAGGCAGACGGAGAUCCUUGCGUCUGCACGCAGCAGCCAGCCUGGAGUUUUGAAAGAAGACCCGCUGCCUGGCCCGGGGUCCACAGCAGCUUGGUCCAACUGGCAGAGGCAAUAUGCUGCCCAGAGUCUGACCCAGACUGCCUCUGGGGCCCUCCUGAGACCUAAUACAGCUCCCAGAAAACAGAACCAGAGGCCUAAGUGCCCAAAGGCUCUCCUGGUCCCUCAUUUGCCAAUGAAAAGGAUAUCCUACCACUUGUUUUGUUUUGUGGCAAUAUGAGGUGGGAGAUAGGAACCUCAUUUUGAUAAAUGUCCUAUUUUGUCCUCAGUACACAGGCUGACCCUGUUUCAGGAAGCUGGUUUUCAAUUCUAAAGCUAGUCUGCUCUGCAUCCUCGAAAUACACUCCCUUGAAGCACAAUGACUCCCACGCAGGGGUCUCCAGUGCAGCCCUGCUUAUCAUUCACUGAUUGCAAACAAACUAAAUGUCCAUCAAGGGGUGGGGGCAGGACUUCCCGGGCGCUUCCGAUGCAGCAUGUGCAGGUUCAAACCCACUUGGGGGAACUAAGAUCCCAUAUGCUGUGAGGUGUGGCCAAAAUUUAAAAAAAAAAAAAAAAAAAAAACAGGGGGGUGUCACAUAGAGCAUGAUGCUCUGAAACACACUGGGGGGCCCAGAGAGAAAGGGCCACCAUGCAAGUACCGAUGAGCACUUAGCUCCAGGAGAUACUAAGUGAAGAAGUCAGGUCCUAAGAGUGAGAGAAAUUCCCUACGUGGGUUAGUCUGGACAGUAUGUUAUUCUGAAAUCUAUCUGUCCUGAAAAGCUGGCCUUGAUUCUUUGCUUAGACUACUGAGUACACAAAGGGUUUCCAGGGGCAGAGGGGCAAUACCUCGGGAGACGGCCCUGUUGGGGGUGGAUAUGCAGUGGGCGGCACUUGGCACCAUGGCGAAGCAGAGCCAGCCCGUUUUGGAGGCCCUCGAGGAGACUGUGGGGCCCCUCUAUCCUGGGCAUGGAUCCUGCCAAGGCACAUGAGUGGAGUCUGACUAGGGAUCCCGCUUGCUGGGCACAGGAGUGGGAUCCAAGGUUCAGUGGGAGGAUCACCAGUCAGGUUUUGGGGUGACAGAUCCAGGGUCUCUCAUGGUUUGGAAACACAGUGUUGCAACAUUAAAAGUUGCUUUCAUCAAUAACUGCAAUAAGCCAUUACAAAAAUAAUGAAGUAACACAAAAUUGACUAAUUCUCAGGAGUGCUGAAGCAUCUUUGUACCUUAAUUAGCAACUUGGCUUUGCCCUUCCGUGAUUAUUAAAGAAUUAAGACAUGUCACAACCCAGGUCUGUAUCUCCAAGUGCAAAUUAGAAAAAGGAUGGGUUGGGAGGUCAGAUGCCUGCAGAUUCUCUCAUGUCUGAUAGAGUUGGCAGGAACACAGAGAACCUGGGGCCACAACUGAGAGGCAGAGCUGAGGGAUUGCCCUGGAGGCAGGAUUGGGGUAAGCAGACUGUUUUCAUGCUGUGUCUUCAAGGAAUGUCCCAGCCUCAGGCCAGCAGAACAGCCCCCAAAGCCAUCUGAAGCUGACAAAGGAGGUGGGGCUGCCCAGAAGAUAAUGUUCCACUGAUCUGUUAUCAACAUUCAUUCAUUCAUUCACUCAUCCAAGCUAGAACUGGUGGGUGCCAAGAGGGACACAGAGAAGAGGGGGUCCCAUCCUGGCCCUAAGGAGCUGAUGGCACACAGGGGGUGGGGUGGGCACAGGCCACUGGGAAGAGGCAAGGCAGCAUAAAUAGAGUGAGCGAGGGAGCCGAAGGAAGGCCAUUUGACCGGUUUGCGUCAUCAGGAGCCCAUAAGGCUUUGAAGAAGAGCAUUUGACCUAGGUACCUGAAGGAAAGGGUACCUAACUACAAAGAGAACUUCAGGUAGAGGAAAUAGCCAGGUAAAGGCUUGAGAACAUGGAUUCAGUGACCUCAACGGACAACCAAAAGUUGCCCUAGACUUUCCAACCUGGAACGCAUUGAAGGAGGAUUCACAAAAUCAUGUCCUCCAUCCUGAGCUCCACGACAGGUGUCUAUCUGCCCCUUGCUGCGUGUCCUGCAGGCACUACAGUCAAUGCAUCAAAAAUAGAUCUCCUCUGCUUCCUCAAGCCCCACGUUUCCUCUCAUGCCUCCACUACUUCCCACCAAAUGAAGAGCCUUGGGGUCAUCCUCAAGUCCUCUGGUCAAAGAGCCCUGUGUGUGUGCUGGGCACUUAAUGAUUAACAUUGGUUGAAUGGAUGAGUGAAUGAGUGAGGAGGAGGGACAGUUCAGUUCAGUCGCUCAGUCGUGUCUGACUCUUUGCAACCCCAUGAACCGCAGCACACCAGGCCUCCCUGUCCAUCACCAACUCCCAGAGUCCAUCCAAACCCAUGUCCAUUGAGUCAGUGAUGCCAUCCAGCCAUCUCAUCCUCUGUCAUCCCCUUCUCCUCCUGCCCCCAAUCCCUCCCAGCAUCAGGGUCUUUUCCAAUGAGUCAGCUCUUCACAUGCAUGGCCAAAGUAUUAGAGUUUCAGCUUUAGCAUCAGUCCUUCCAAUGAACACCCAGGAUCUCCUUUAGGAUGGACUGGUUGGACCUCCUUGCAGUCCAAGGGACUCUCAAGAGUCUUCUCCAACACCACAGUUCAAAAGCAUCAAUUCUUCAGCACUCAGCUUUCUUUAUAGUCCAACUCUCACAUCCAUACAUGACCACAGGAAAAACCAUAGCCAUGACUAGAUGGACCUUUGUUGGCAAAGUAAUGUCUCUGCUUUUUAAUAUGCUGUCCAAGUUGGUCAUAGCUUUCCUUCUAAGGAGUAAGCGUCUUUUAAUUUCAUGGCUGCAAUCACCAACUGCAGUGAUUUUGGAGCCCAGAAAAAUAAAGUCAGCCACUGUUUCCCCAUCUACUGGCCAUGAAGUGAUGGGACCAGA
rnacentral:lncRNA from 1 species